rnacentral:rRNA from 1 species
UACGGAGGGGACUAGCGUUGUUCGGAAUUACUGGGCGUAAAGCGCACGUAGGCGGGUUUUUAAGUCAGGGGUGAAAUCCUGGAGCUCAACUCCAGAACUGCCUUUGAUACUGAAGAUCUUGAGUCCGGGAGAGGUGAGUGGAACUGCGAGUGUAGAGGUGAAAUUCGUAGAUAUUCGCAAGAACACCAGUGGCGAAGGCGGCUCACUGGCCCGGUACUGACGCUGAGGCACGAAAGCGUGGGGAGCAAACAGG